AUUGCUUCUCGGCCUUUUGGCUAAGAUCAAGUGUAGUAUGAUCUAAUUUUUUGACCUUUU
ensembl:snRNA U2 U2 spliceosomal RNA